AAUUCGAUGAUACGCGAGGAACCGUUACCUGGGCUUAAAUGGGGAGUGACAGCUGUCGAAAGAUGGUUUUCUUCGGACACUCUUCAAGGUGCUGCAUGGUUGUCGUCAGCUCGUGCCGUGAGGUGUCGGGUUAAGUCCCAUAACGAGCGCAACCCUUACCGUUAGUUACCAUCAGGUUAAGCUGGGGACUCUAGCGGGACUGCCACCGUAAGGUGAGAGGAAGUGGGGAUGACGUCAAAUCAGCACGGCCCUUAUGUCCAGGGCUACACACGUGUUACAAUGGCCAGUACAAAGGGCAGCUACCGGGUGACCGGAUGCUAAUCUCUAAAGCUGGUCUCAGUUCGGAUCGAAGUCUGCAACCCGACUUCGUGAAGCUGGAUUCGCUAGUAAUCGCGCAUCAGCCAUGGCGCGGUGAAUACGUUCCCGGGCCUU
rnacentral:rRNA from 1 species